CGCACAUUGCGCCCACUAGCACUCUAGUGGGCAUGCCUGUUCGAGCGUCAUUACGACCCUCAGGCCAUCCUCGCGAGGGGAAUAGGCUUGGUAUUGGGGCGUUACAGCGCGUUUAUACGCUGUAUGUUCCGAAUUAUAGUGGCGGGUCCUUCGGAACCUCAGCGUAGUAAAUUCUAUCGCUCGGGCCGUUCCGGCGCGAACCUGGCCGUAAAACCCCCCUAGCCUUACAAGGUUGACCUCGGAUCAGGUAGGAAUACCCGCUGAACUUAA
rnacentral:misc_RNA from 1 species